UGAGCAUGUGCUUCAGUCCCUGGCAGUUCAC
rnacentral:piRNA from 1 species